ACGAUGAACUCCAGCUUGCUGGGGGGAUUAGUGGCGAACGGGUGAGUAACACGUGAGUAACCUGCCCUUAACUCUGGGAUAAGCCUGGGAAACUGGGUCUAAUACUGGAUAUUGACUUUUCCUCGCAUGGGGUUUGGUUGAAAGCUUUAGUGGUUUUGGAUGGACUCGCGGCCUAUCAGCUUGUUGGUGAGGUAAUGGCUCACCAAGGCGACGACGGGUAGCCGGCCUGAGAGGGUGACCGGCCACACUGGGACUGAGACACGGCCCAGACUCCUACGGGAGGCAGCAGUGGGGAAUAUUGCACAAUGGGCGAAAGCCUGAUGCAGCGACGCCGCGUGAGGGAUGACGGCCUUCGGGUUGUAAACCUCUUUCAGUAGGGAACAAGGCCACACGUUGUGUGGUUGAGGGUACUUGCAGAAGAAGCACCGGCUAACUACGUGCCAGCAGCCGCGGUAAUACGUAGGGUGCAAGCGUUAUCCGGAAUUAUUGGGCGUAAAGAGCUCGUAGGCGGUUUGUCGCGUCUGCCGUGAAAGUCCGGGGCUCAACCCCGGAUCUGCGGUGGGUACGGGCAGACUAGAGUGAUGUAGGGGAGACUGGAAUUCCUGGUGUAGCGGUGAAAUGCGCAGAUAUCAGGAGGAACACCGAUGGCGAAGGCAGGUCUCUGGGCAUUAACUGACGCUGAGGAGCGAAAGCAUGGGGAGCGAACAGGAUUAGAUACCCUGGUAGUCCAUGCCGUAAACGUUGGGCACUAGUUUAGGGACAUUCCACGUUUUCCGCGCCGUAGCUAACGCAUUAAGUGCCCGCUUGAGGAGUACGGCCGCAAGGCUAAAACUCAAAGGAAUUGACGGGGGCCCGCACAAGCGGCGGAGCAUGCGGAUUAAUUCGAUGCAACGCGAAGAACCUUACCAAGGCUUGACAUAAACUGGAAACGCUUGGAAACAAGUGCCCCGCUUGCGGUCGGUUUACAGGUGGUGCAUGGUUGUCGUCAGCUCGUGUCGUGAGAUGUUGGGUUAAGUCCCGCAACGAGCGCAACCCUCGUUCUAUGUUGCCAGCACGUAAUGGUGGGGACUCAUAGGAGACUGCCGGGGUCAACUCGGAGGAAGGUGAGGACGACGUCAAAUCAUCAUGCCCCUUAUGUCUUGGGCUUCACGCAUGCUACAAUGGCCGGUACAAUGGGUUGCGAUACUGUGAGGUGGAGCUAAUCCCAAAAAGCCGGUCUCAGUUCGGAUUGGGGUCUGCAACUCGACCCCAUGAAGUCGGAGUCGCUAGUAAUCGCAGAUCAGCAACGCUGCGGUGAAUACGUUCCCGGGCCUUGUACACACCGCCCGUCAAGUCACGAAAGUUGGUAACACCCGAAGCCGGUGGCCUAACCC
rnacentral:rRNA from 1 species